AUCCAGCUGACGAGUCCCUGAAAGGAUGAAACGCGCUUCCUGAAU
rnacentral:hammerhead_ribozyme from 1 species